UAGCACGUGUGGAACCCUUGCUCCUUUGGAGGUCAAUUUGGUCUCAUCCCUUGCUAAAUAGCUUUUUCAAUUUAGUAGAUAUUUGGGUCAGGUUGUGCCACCUAGAAGCAGCCCAAAUUAGGGUAUCACAUCCCAUUUUAACACCAAUUAUGAAGAGUCCAAGUUGUGAAGGACUCUUGGCGCAAAACAGGUUUAGUGUACAAGUGUUGGAGUGGGCAGAAGAAAAGAGUCCUUCUAGAAUGGGA
rnacentral:lncRNA from 1 species